ACCGCUCGUAAAGUCCCCGGUUGGUUUAUAMAACAUGUUCACGGGUUGUUUAUUUUAANGUUUCGACAAUGAUCCUUCCGUAGNGUGANCUGCGGAAGGAUCAUUG
rnacentral:rRNA from 1 species